GCCCUUCUUUAGCAUGGAACAUUUUGAUUUUGAUGACUUAGCAUUUCUAGAAGUCAUCGAUUCUAGAAGGGAGCUAUCGACUUAGUGGGCAAUUUAUUGAUCGCAUUAAUUAUUAACCAGUAACCUAGAUGUCAAUCGACAAGACAAUUAUGGAUUCCGAGUCUACUUCAAUCACUUCACAUAUGGAGGGUGUCUACAUUCCUUGAAGGCCAUUAACUCAGUAUUAUUGGAACAAGCAAUUCUUGGAUACAAUAUUUCAUAUAUGGCAUUUCAAAAUCCCAUGUGUUGCGACCUAUUGGAUGCACUACCUAAAAUUAGGCUAAUAGAUUUAAUUUAGCUCGGGCUCUCCUAAGCUCAUACUAAUUUACGACUUAAAUUCAAAUAUUUAGCAUGCAAAAUGAAGUCACUACUAAUCGGUUUACAGUAGAUCGAUUAGACACCUAGGUAAAAUAACAGGAAAAUUAUUUUACUCCUACGAAUUAGAGGGUACGGGGACUUGGUUACACUAGAUUUCCUACGAAUUAGAGGGUACGGGGACUUGGUUACACUAGAUUUCCUACGAAUUAGAGGGUACGGGGACUUGGUUACACUAGAUUUCUCUAAUGUUCUUUUGGUACCAUUUUUUUUUUUAAUUUUCCAAAAUGUUUUAUUUUAAGCUAAGUUACUAUCAUGUCAAAAGGUGAUCACAUGAGUGCUCAACCAUUAUUAAACAUUCA
rnacentral:lncRNA from 1 species